UACGUAGGGUCCGAGCGUUGUCCGGAAUUAUUGGGCGUAAAGAGCUCGUAGGCGGUUUGUCGCGUCUGCUGUGAAAUCCCGAGGCUCAACCUCGGGCCUGCAGUGGGUACGGGCAGACUGGAGUGCGGUAGGGGAGAAUGGAAUUCCUGGUGUAGCGGUGGAAUGCGCAGAUAUCAGGAGGAACACCGAUGGCGAAGGCAGGUCUCUGGCAUUAACUGACGCUGAGGAGCGAAAGCAUGGGGAGCGAACAGG
rnacentral:rRNA from 1 species